GCCACCCUAGCUCAUCUGGUAGAGCAACUGUUUUGUAAACAGUAGGUGCCCGGUUCAAGCCCGGGGGGUGGCU
rnacentral:tRNA from 1 species